ensembl:misc_RNA Y_RNA Y RNA
GGCUGGUCCAAGUGCAGUAGUGUUUGCAGCUAGUCGAUGACAAACAGUUACAGAUUUCUUUGUUCCUUCUCCACUCCCACUGUUUCACUUGACUAGUUAAAA